UUUAUUUAUUUUUCCUCUUUUCCUCUCUUUUCCCCUUUCUCUCCUCUCUCACCUUUUAUAUAUAUAUAUAUAUAUAUAUAUAUAUAUGUAAUGUAUUCCUUUUGUUUAAUACUAAAUAGUGAAUUGCAAUCAUAAAAAACACACUAAAUCCACUUCAACAUUUAAUCCCCCUGGUUCCAAUGUCUGUAAUUUAUGGAUCCAGUAGGUCUCACGUUGUGAUAGUUUUUUAACUCUAUCACCCCCUCUCCAAUCUGUUGUUACUCUCUCAAUACCAAUGCACUUAAAUUUUUUAAAAGAAAAUAGUGAACAAUGAUUGCAGUGAACUGGGAUAGAGUGGGUAGCCAAGUUCUUUUUGAUAUUAUUAAUAUGUUCCAUAAACCGAACUUUUAAAAGUCUCUUUGUUCUGCCAACAUAUUGUUUGCCGCACGGACACUGCAGUAAAUAAACUACAUAAUCCGUGCGGCAAUGUAUCUCGGUCUUAAUAUGGAAAACCUCCCCUGUUAUAAAACUAGAGAAUAUAUCCGUGCGUUCUAAAUUAACAGUGUGACAAGCUUUGCAAGAAUUACAGCCCCUAAAAGAACUAUUACCAAUUGACUUAUGACUAUCCUCAUGAUGUUUUAAGGCAUAACUUGGUGCCAAAAUAUUCUUAAAGUUUUGUUUUUUUCUAAAAAUAAGUUUAGGCCGAUCAGGUAAAACAGAAUUCAAUACAGGAUCCUGUUGGAGAAUCGACCAAUGUUUUUGUAAACUUCUCCUAAUUUUAACAUGAUUGGUACAGUAUUGAGUUCUAAAAGUAAUUGUAUUAUCCUGAUAAGGUUUAACACAAGGUUUGUCCAUAAGGUAGUUACCCCUGUCGGAUUGUAAAGCCAUACGGAUUUCCCUAUCCAAUGUAUUCUUUUUAUAACCUCUUUCAACCAAUUUGUCCCUGAUGUGGCCAGAUUGCGUUAUAAAGUCAUUGACUUGAGAGCAAUUCCUUCUCACCCUAGCAAAUUGGCCCUUGGCUAUUCCUCUAAGCCAGGGGCGGUGAUGGCAGCUCUGCUGAUGAACAUAUCCAUUGCCAUCACUGGGUUUGAAGAAACACUUCGUUUUUAUGGAGUCAUUAUCACAUAUUAAGGACAAAUCUAAAAAACUAAUUUCAUUCUGAUGCCAUACAGAAGUGAAUUUUAAAUUAUAUUUAUUCUGAUUUAAAUAGUUUUCAAAACAUUGAAAAGCAGAAAAAGACCCCUUCCAAAUAAUAAUAACGUCAUCGAUAUAUCUCCGCCAGAGCACCAGGUUCUCCCUCCAGUCAUGACCAGCCCAAACUGUAAGAUCCUCCCAUCUCCGCAUAUAGGUAUUGGCAUAACUGGGGGCGAACCUGGUGCCCAUGGCGGUUCCCGUGAUUUGUAAAUAAAAUUUAUCAUUAAAGAAAAAAUAAUUGUGUUCUAAAAUAAAUUUAACUGAAUGUAAGAU